UUUCUUCAAAAUAGUGGUAAAGCUGCGUUAGUGAUGACUGUGAAUGGAAAAAAAAAAAAAAAAAGCUGCAAAUACCAGUGAAGAGACUAAUACUACUGGAGGGGAUAGGAAGAGAAAGAAGAGGCACAGUAAAUAUAUAUUGUUUCCAUCUAUCUGUACAGUGUAGCUUGGAGAGCGCUUCUCAGGCUGUCCGCACCACUGCCGCUCGCGUGACGCGAGACGCACAAUAACCUGCGUCGGUGCUGUGCGAAGCGAUGGAGGGACAGUGGGACGGGGCCCUGCGAUGCAGUGUGGCACAUCGUUUGGCUCUGGAUAGCCGCGAAGGAGCCGAUGCCGGCUUUGUUCCAACCAAACCGGUGCCACUGCCAAGAAAAGUCGUAAAGCAGAGUUACACCGCUCCAUUCUGUGGGCUGCUGCAUUUGGUCUUGCGGCACACAUACGCUGCCAUGGCGUGUUCUGGCUUGUGUGGAAUCUGCUCCUGAGACAGCACUAUUUUUAUCAGGUGCCGCAGUAAGCUGAGCUGACUUGAAGACCGAGUUGCCGCGUCUCCAGAAGGGUGAUGGACUUUGCAGCUGAAGUUAUGAACAGAGGAGGUUUAUAACAUACAGGCUAAGGUGGAAGUCUUCAAAGCCUGUUAGCAAACAGCAACAAGUAUUCCACUGAUGCCUAAGACCGGCAAAAUAAGCACCAGUAGAGCUAAACGCCACGCUUGGAAAUGAAUCGUACAUGUUCAGCAGCCCUUCACCAGUUGAAGAUUAAAAAAUAAUGUGGGCCCUUGCUGAUGGGAUGCAUUGCCAGUCAGAAAAAUGGAAAGCACUCUCCGAUCAGAAAGAGCUGAGCCAGCUGAAUACAUCGGCAGGAGCUCUGCGCCAGUGAGCUGUUACCUAAUAACUUGAUGGUUCAAGCUCUGAUAGAGUCAGAGAGCACAAGAGAGCCUCUUGCAGCCUGACAUUUAGACACCUGAAACUGAAAGACAGCUAAAAUCAAUGGAUUUUUUCUUUUUUUAAUAUUAGUAGUCCAGUGUUUAUGUGAGCUGUGAGACAUAAAGAGGAGCAAAGCGAAGUUACAUGUGGCUGUAAAGCCAGAACGGAGAAGUGGGGUCAAACCAGCAAGCAGGAACAGAGAGGGCUCCAUAGUCCAGUAGUGAUGAGACACUGCUGCCAGGAACAGAUACCAAUGCCGCAUGGAAGAGGAUGGAAAUGCAGGCAAGUCAGCAGGUACACGAAGAGCCAAAUGCCUCUUUGUCCCCGCUCUCCAAGAGAGCGCUGGUGUGACCCAAGAGGCAUGUGGCAUGGUGAUUGCAAAGGGGAGUGAUGCUGCUCUGCAGGAGGCAGCUUCUGACGGACGGGGAAAUUCUUUCAGUGGCUGGUGAUGUUUGUGGUUUGGUGUGUGUGUUCCUGACUCACCUAUAAAUUCCUACAAAGAUUGGCAGUAAUUUUAUUGGUAGAGGCUCACAAGGUGAAGGAGAGUAAAGGCUGCUCAAAGGUGGUCCAAGAUGGUGCUCAUGGUGAUAAGAGCUCCCUAAAAAGCAGUAAGAGUUUCCUGAAUCCUUCUCCAGCGUGGAUGCAGGAAAACCAGUUGUCCAGCUGAAAAAAGGUUAAAAAUGUGAAGACAGUAACUUGAUUAGUUUAACAUUCAUUCCUGUCUUAAUGAAUAUCUAAAAUACUGUAUUCCACCUUUAGACUGUAGAGAGAUACUCUUCCUAUAAUUACAGGGCUAUUAUGAAAAUUGGAAAGAAAAAGGCAAAAAAAAAAGCUACAAAAGAUAAGUAGGUUAAUUCUGGGAAGGUUCAGAGACAUGGGAGCACAUAGUUGUUGUGCUUCUAAAAAGGUACCAGCACUUUGUCUAAAUGUCUGUUUCUGACAGACAGCUUCCCCAAACUGAAUUUUGGAAGUGAAUUUUGUCUUGGGUAUCGUGUUGCUCAGGGCACUAACGCUCUGAAACAACACGUGGGAGGGGAAUAAAAGGUAGGCAGAGUGACAGGUCACUGGAGAAUUUGCCUGACCACCUUCCUUCCUUUCUUUUAUAGUAUUUUUAUCUUGGACCACAAAGUGUAAACUUCUAAUCAUUUAUUAAUGCAAAUGUAUGUGUCUGUUAAUAUAUUAUUAGACACAGACACCGCGUGUGUAAAUAAUACAGUAUAGAUAUGUACCUUCAUGCUUACAAUAUUGCUAAGAGCUUGAGCUGAACUCACCAUGCAGAUUCAGAACAUUGAACAGCAUUAUUUCACGUAAAGAGACUUCAUCAGGAUUACCCACAUCUGCUACCUCAAUGUAACACACUUUGCCAUUUUUCAGUGCAUAUUUUCAGCUCAUAACAUCUUUUUGCUGCUAAACGAAUCCUAUGAACGCUUCCUUGGUGCCGCAGUCUCUAGAGGUGAGCUGUUUAUCUUGUGGUUUCACAGCAGAUGGUAGCUGCUCUCGGACAGCACUUGCCACAGAAGUGAUCCCCCCUUCUGCAGUUCCCAGCCUCCUCUUUGUCCCCAUGGCGUUCCCUCCCUCGUGUGAUGAAUGGAUGGGGGAACAAUCACAGAAAAACAUAACCAAGACUGGGAAAUGACCCUGGUUUUUACCUGGCUCAGUUUCACGAUGUGUUUCAUCAUUUGGCUACAUGAAAACUUUGGCUGGGACAAAUAAAAGGGCUGUAUGGGUGUAGACAUGAGCGGAUGGAGAAGCACGUGGCUGCUUCUCUCAGCACCAGUGCCAAGCUAUACUGGUUUAAACUGUGAAGUUACAAUUACAGUAUACUCCCCUCCAGUAUUUGUAGCAUACAUACAACAAAAAGAGAAAAAUAAGUUCCAUAACCUCCACUUGGAUAAACCAAAAUGUUUCUGUUAACUUCAGUUAAAACUAUGGCUGUUUAAGAACUUGGAAGAUCAGCCCCUGGGCCAGCUUCCCACUUCUUAGCCUGAUCCAGUUCUUUAAGCUUGCAGAAGGCCCCCAUGAAAGGCAGCUGAAGCAGGCUCUUUAAGGUGCAAACACAUCUCUGGUUUGUGCUAACGAAGUCACACCAGGAGUGAAUAUAGCCCUGCUCCAAUCAGUGAUCUCAUUUUUGUACAAUGAUUGCAAUUAACAAGGUACAUUAUUUUCAGAUAAUUUUUAAUGGAUGUAAGAGCUUGGCAUUAGCUACUUACUGUAGUCCAAGACCAGCUUAGAAACAUUGUGGAACCUCAUCACAGUACUUCUGAAAUAGAGUAGAAGAUUUCAGUACUUGUAAUACUUUUUUCUUUAAGCUCUUGAAGUAAAAAAAUUAAUUUUCAUAGCCUAACUUAGGAUGUUUCACUGUGUGAUGCUGACAGUACUCUAGAAUUCUAUAAUGACAUA